CCUUCGGGGGUACUCGAGCGGCGAACGGGGUGAGUAACACGUGAGCAACCUGCCCCUGACUCUGGGAUAAGCCCGGGAAACUGGGUCUAAUACCGGAUAUGACCACUCCAGGCAUCUGGUGGUGGUGGAAAGUUUUUCGGUUGGGGAUGGGCUCGCGGCCUAUCAGCUUGUUGGUGGGGUGAUGGCCUACCAAGGCGACGACGGGUAACCGGCCUGAGAGGGCGACCGGUCACACUGGGAGUGAGACACGGCCCAGACUCUUACGGGAGGCAGCAGUGGGGAAUAUUGCGCAAUGGGCGGAAGCCUCAGGCAGCGACGCCGCGUGGGGGAUGACGGCCUUCGGGUUGUAAACCCCUUUCAGCAGGGACGAAGCUAACGUGACGGUACCUGCAGAAGAAGCGCCGGCUAACUACGUGCCAGCAGCCGCGGUAAUACGUAGGGCGCAAGCGUUGUCCGGAAUUAUUGGGCGUAAAGAGCUCGUAGGCGGUUUGUCGCGUCUGUCGUGAAAGCCCACGGCUUAACCGUGGGUCUGCGGUGGAUACGGGCAGACUAGAGGCAGGUAGGGGAGAAUGGAAUUCCCGGUGUAGCGGUGAAAUGCGCAGAUAUCGGGAGGAACACCGGUGGCGAAGGCGGUUCUCUGGGCCUGUACUGACGCUGAGGAGCGAAAGCGUGGGGAGCGAACAGGAUUAGAUACCCUGGUAGUCCACGCCGUAAACGUUGGGCGCUAGGUGUGGGGUUCUUCCACGGAUUCCGCGCCGUAGCUAACGCAUAAGCGCC
rnacentral:rRNA from 1 species